rnacentral:rRNA from 1 species
UGGGGAAUCUUGCGCAAUGGGCGAAAGCCUGACGCAGCGACGCCGCGUGAGUGAUGAAGGCCUUCGGGUUGUAAAGCUCUGUGGGGAGAGAAGAAUAAGUCGUAGUGAAUAUCUACGAUGAUGACGGUAUCUCCUUAGCAAGCACCGGCUAACUCUGUGCCAGCAGCCGCGGUAAGACAGAGGGUGCAAACGUUGUUCGGAAUUACUGGGCGUAAAGCGUGUGUAGGCGGUGAGGUAAGUCAGGUGUGAA